UUUAUUGAGCAUAUCUUCUAUUUUUUAGAAGGAAGAUAGAGUGCUGUGAAUUGGUAAACGUGUAAAGCAAGUUUUAUCAACCUAGCCAGCCAAGUCACUUACUGCAAAGGGUUACAAAGCAGUGUUUCGUGUCAAACUGUUACUGCUUUAGAUUCACUAAAAGCCUACAACUAUUAAUUUUGGUAAAUCACAUCAGCUUUAUUAGGUACAAAGAUUUCUUUUUUUUGUAUGUAAUUUUUGUCUUAUUUACUUAUUUGUUACAUUUUUUAUUUAUCAAAUGAUGUAUUUAUGUAGUAUAGAAGAACUAAAUUUGUUAAGUUUUGUGAAUUUUUAAAAAAUUUUUACUAAUAUUUUUUCAUUUCCUAUGUAAUGUUUUAAAAAUUAUUCUUUGUGUGUGUGCAAUUUAGAGAAGUAAAAAAAAAAAAUCACAAACUUCAAGAUUCUUUCCAGAUUUUUUGUUACUACUAUCAAUUAAAAGUGAAGUUUAAAUGGAUGAUAUUAGGCUAGAAGUGGCUAUUAGUUUAGAAAAUGAUGAAAAUGUUAAUAAGCAAGUUGAAAAUAAUCGUCGCAGAAAUGCAAAAUUGGCUGAGGCGAGAUGAAAUUAAUAAUCAACAAAAUGCCAGAUAUGCUGCAUGGCAAGCUGCAAAUAAUUUGAAUUAAAAUGAGGACAGUGUGAUUAGGAAAGUUGAAAAUAUUCGUCACAGAAUUGCAAGAAAUAGGCUGAGGCAGGAUGAAAUUAAUAAUCAACCAAAUGCUAUCCUGCUCGGCAAGCAGCAAAUACUUUGAACUGAAAUAGGGAGAAAAAAGGGCAUGAUAGACGUCACUAUAAUUUCUCUUCACAUAAUGAAGUUGCAGUUGUAUUUUUGGUAAAGAUGGUGCUCCACCUACUUCCAGUAAAGUUGUUAUUUUCCCAAGAGGUCAUCCUCUUAAAAUAUAUCAAUUAUGUCUGCUAAAUUUUAGAGCCUAUGGUUUGUUCUCCAUUUUUUCUAAGGGUUGAUGCUGGUUGGCAUAAUCAAUUGGUUCACAACCCUGAACGUGCUACAAUCAAAUUGGUUCACAACCCUGAACAUUGAUUAGAAAUCAUGUUACAUUAUCUCAGUAUUAUAGUUAUAGACUUUUAGUUGGACAAUUAACCUAAACAAAAAAAUAGGUGAAGUGAUUUUUAGUAACUUCAGAUCACUUUGUUGUUAUUUUUUUAUUACUAUAAGAAUGGUUAAUAAUAAAAGUUUUUUUGGCAGUAGAACUGGUACUGAUUUUAGUAAGUUUGCUAUAUUUUUUUAUUUAAGAUUUUUAUUAGAUUUAAUAGGUUUAUAGGUUUUUUUUAAUUACU